UACGGAGGGGGCUAGCGUUGUUCGGAAUUACUGGGCGUAAAGCGCACGUAGGCGGCUUUGUAAGUUAGAGGUGAAAGCCCGGGGCUCAACUCCGGAAUUGCCUUUAAGACUGCAUCGCUAGAAUUGUGGAGAGGUAAGUGGAAUUCCGAGUGUAGAGGUGAAAUUCGUAGAUAUUCGGAAGAACACCAGUGGCGAAGGCGACUUACUGGACACAUAUUGACACUCAGGUGCGACAGCGUGGGGAGCAAACAGG
rnacentral:rRNA from 1 species